AUGGUUGGUCUGUGGAUGGUGGUUGGCCUGUAGAUGAUGGUUGUGGAGGUGAAAUAGGUGAAUCAUAAAUUGUGUUAGAUGCAAGUAAUCUGACUGGAGUGGUAGGGUUGUUUGGAGAAUGUUGAAGAAAAGGAAAAAUUGUUUCAUGAAAUGUGACAUUGCGAGAAACAAAAAUUGCUCGAGUCUCGGUAUCAAGAAGAAUAUAACCUUUAACAUGUGGUUUG
rnacentral:lncRNA from 1 species